CCCCUCUGCCCUAACCCCUUACUACCUUCCUCUACUGAAAUGGAAAGCAAGCCAAAAUCAUCCAUCACAGACGAAGGCUUUGGAGCUAAGAUUGUAUACUAUAAGGUGUUGGGGGUUCGAAAUUUCUGCUCAAGGAGGAAGUAGAAUGGGACUUUGCCAAGGAUAGAGAAAUACAUUCAAACACAAACCAUAGACUAAGUAAUUGCGGACACAACACAAUCCUUAUAGCCUUAGGCCCUUAGUGGUCUGCUGAGGAUGAAGAUGGCACACCCACAAUAAAUUGGCCAGACAUACUGGAUAUUGA